rnacentral:lncRNA from 1 species
GACGACCUAAUUCGAGAAGGGAUGAGUAUUUAAACAUCGUAUCGCAGGAGAACCUAACCCUAGUCGCCCAACUUCCGCCAAAAAGAAGAACCAGACGAUGGAAAAGGAGGCUGAUCUCCGGUCGCCGCUACACCAGAGCUACCGUCGACUGCCAAAAAAAGUAAAAAAAAUUUCUCCACGCUUGAAAGUCAAUUCCGAGCCUCUUUGUGGCCAUAUCGAAAUAAAAAGAAUGAUGGGUGAGCUAAAAAUCAUGGGUAAAGCCUGACGAAGCCACCGCAGCCAAACCCUAAACCCUCUCUAAUGACCCUUUCUCAUUUCUCGUUUCUCGUUUCACACAAUUCUUUGACCAUUGUGUUCACCGU